GCAGUGGUAGUUCAAUGGUAGAAUUUUCACCUUCCAUGCAGGAGACCCAGGUUUGAUUCCCAGCCAAUGUA
rnacentral:tRNA from 1 species